rnacentral:rRNA from 1 species
CCUACGGGGUGCUGCAGUGGGGAAUAUUGGACAAUGGGCGAAAGCCUGAUCCAGCCAUGCCGCGUGUGUGAAGAAGGCCUUCGGGUUGUAAAGCACUUUCAGUGGGGAAGAAAGCCUUGGGGCUAAUACCCUCGAGGAAGGACAUCACCCACAGAAGAAGCACCGGCUAACUCCGUGCCAGCAGCCGCGGUAAUACGGAGGGUGCGAGCGUUAAUCGGAAUUACUGGGCGUAAAGCGCGCGUAGGCGGUCUGAUAAGCCGGUUGUGAAAGCCCCGGGCUCAACCUGGGAACGGCAUCCGGAACUGUCAGGCUAGAGUGCAGGAGAGGAAGGUAGAAUUCCCGGUGUAGCGGUGAAAUGCGUAGAGAUCGGGAGGAAUACCAGUGGCGAAGGCGGCCUUCUGGACUGACACUGACGCUGAGGUGCGAAAGCGUGGGUAGCAAACAGGACUAGAUACCCUAGUAGUC